UUCUCCAUGGUUCAGAGGAAUUAGAUGGACUACCACUGUUGUUCUCAAAUUCUGAAUUGGAAAAGGUGACUUGCCUGGUUUCCUUGGGAGAUUUGAAAAAAAUAAGUAACUCUUUGGCUUAACUAAGACAUCCUAGUUCAGACAUCCAAGUCUGAUGAUGCAGAUAAGAGACAGUUUUACCAGAGCCCAAUGUGCCCUGAAGUCAUGGAAGAGAGUCCAGUUGGAAGAAGCUGCAGUUUUGGAAGGAUGCACUAUUUUCCAUAAUGUCAGAAGUGAUGUAGGAAAGAGGAGGCAAAAUCAUCUCUACUUCUCUUUUCUUCUGUCGUCCAAGGGCUGGAUUCAUCCGGGUCUGUGUGCUGCAUUCCUACGUUGAGAAAAAUGACAGUAAUGAUAUGAGAGAGAAGGAAGAACUGAGGAUCAGGUGACACUUCCAGAGAGUGAAUGAUUGAUGGCCCCAGAGAAAGCACUGAUGGUACAGCUACCAUGGCCAAAGGGGACAGUCGAGAUUAAUGAAAUGCAUCCAUACCUGAUGCUAUGCCCGCACUCUUGUUCCCUCUCUCUCUCUUUCUCUCUCACUUUCAACUUUUCUGCUGCUCACCUAAGGAAACUCUGGUUGACAAACAUAGUUAUAAGUGAUUGAUGACAUUUUUGAGCACUCGGACAAAAUAUUAAAAUGAAAGAAAAUGCCAGAGUAAUUCAUUUAUUGAAAAUCAGUAUUCUAGUAAAAAAUAGUUCAACAGAAAUUUUUUUUUUACUGUGAAGAAACAGGUAGUAGUACUUUAAAUUCUAGAUCUAUAUAGAUUACAAUAACCUCCUUCAAAACAAUAAUGUAAAGUUUUCAUGAUUCAAUUUUCAUUGA